rnacentral:rRNA from 1 species
UAGGGAAUCUUCCGGCAAUGGACGAAAGUCUGACCGAGCAACGCCGCGUGAGUGAAGAAGGUUUUCGGAUCGUAAAACUCUGUUGGUAGAGAAGAACGUUGGUGAGAGUGGAAAGCUCAUCAAGUGACGGUAACUACCCAGAAAGGGCGGCUAACUACGUGCAAG